GUCACAGGAAAUGGGUAGCUAUCCAGCUAAAUGGAUUUCAUGCUUGACUUCAGUGGAAUAGCUCAAAUGAUGAUCUGUUUGGGAGAGUAAAUUAAAGAGUUUCCAUCCGAGGUUGGUUGAAUCCACAGAUGUGGAACCUACAGAUACAGAGGGCCAACCAUACUGAGUCUGACUUCCCCUACUCCUCCCACCUCCAUCUCUCCUAAUCCUUAAUCUUCCUUGGAGUUCUUGGAGCAGAAUACUCAUGAAGGAGUCAGGGGCUGUCUUCUCUUCCUAGAAGCAAUGCUUCCAUGUUCUCAUUUGAUGUUGAAUAAAACAUUUAACAGAAGAGGUUUGAUAACAUCA